CAUUGGGUAAAUGUACCACAGCUUUUUUUACCCACUCAUGUAUUGAUGGGCACUCUGGCUGUUUCCAGAUCUUGGCUAUUGUAAACAAUGCCACUAUGAACAUAGGCGUGCAUAUUUUCCUUCUCAUUGGUGUUUUCUGAUUGUUAGGGUAUAGGUCUCAG